rfam:Macrostomum lignano uti_cns_0009579, whole genome shotgun sequence.
CAAAAGGCUUUUAUUAUCUACAUAGCAUUGAGAAGCCACCAAUUUUUUAUAGCAGUUUUUAG